UGAGCAAUCUGCCCCUGACUCUGGGAUAACAGUUGGAAACAGCUGCUAAUACCGGAUACGAGCUGCGAAGGCAUCUUCAGCAGCUGGAAAGAACUUCGGUCAGGGAUGAGCUCGCGGCCUAUCAGCUAGUUGGUGAGGUAAUGGCUCACUAAGCGUCGACGGGUAGCCGGCCUGAGAGGGCGACCGGCCACACUGGGACUGAGAUACGGCAGA
rnacentral:rRNA from 1 species